GCUGGGCAUGGUGGUGCAUGCCUGUAAUCCCAGCUACUCUGGAGGCUGAGGCAGGAGAAUCACUUGAACUCGGGAGGUGGAGGUUGCAGUAAGCUGAGAUUGCACCACUACACUCUGGCCUGGGUGACACAGCGAGACUCUGCCUCAA
ensembl:misc_RNA Metazoa_SRP Metazoan signal recognition particle RNA